CGCUUGCCUGUGAUGAUAAUGGUCUCUGAAUUGCUAUUCUCUGCUGGAAGGUCGAUUUUGGUGUUGCUUUCUUCACGAAUCUACAGGGAGAGAGAUCACCAUGAGAAGCUGACUAGAGCUCUCCCAGAGUUGAGACACAGUUGAGCACAGGGCUAGAAGUAAGGAAGAGUCCCUCCUAGUCUAAAACCAAAAUGGUGCAGGGCUACAGAGGACAAGGCAAGAAGAAGCAAGAUGCAGCGGACAAGUUAUCACCUUUUUAAUGUUUGCGCCUCCUUUCCCAAUGAUAUUCUUGUGAAACUGUUUGAAG
rnacentral:lncRNA from 1 species